CAAAGGCCUCGGUGGUCUCGCCUCGCGCCCCGAAAGCCACCCAAGAUCACGAGCCAGAGAGGCACGAGGAGAGACACAUACAUCAAAAGCUUAUUAAAGCCAACGAAAUAACUCACGGUGACAGCGCUACAAAAAGAUAACCAUUACAUUUAUGUGCCGGCUAUGUGUGACUUUGAGGCUGACCUUGUGGAGCUCCCCGGGGAUCGAUGAGGCGUCUGCGAACAGUGCGCAGAGUAAUCGCCCUGCACUGCGCGCCGACUCAAUGACGAGGCGAGACGAACGACGGCACGCGGCCACUACGCCGGUGUUGCCGCCGCCCGAGGAUGUCUUGCACAUAUUUGUGCUUCGAACAUCCGGAGGAAUUGUACCACCUUGAGUGUUACAAACAAACACAUUGAUGAUGAUGAGCCAGCAAUGCACUGUGGGUAACUUGGGAGGUUUUACACAAGGCCUAACGUUGCUCACGCCAGUUGGAGGAGGAGGCAAGGACACCAGACUGAACCCGUGUAAUCAGAAUCGCGCCCACGGUGUCUGUCUGGUGUCUGCCUCGUAACACAGGAAAUCCAAACCAGAACUAUCAAGUUCACAUAAUUAAGUUGCAUAAAAAUUACAGGCUGGAUCAAAUGCGCGCCACCCUGCCAUUAGUGGUGGGUGUUAUUUUGCCCCCUCAACUGUCUUAUUUUAAUUCUAUGUCUGUUUGCUUUACAGUCUGGGUAAUAGCAGGUCUGGGCCUUUUCCCAUGUGUGCUUACAUUAAACUCCAACCGCGGGCUAAGCUCGGACCAGAGCCACGCUGCUCUACAAGUCUAUACCUUUAUUUUAUUCAUUUCCCAUUUAUGCAAGCUCGUUUGGGUGUAUUGUUAAUAAGAAGGCUUGUGAGCGCUUGUCACAGGAGAGCACCCUUGACUCUUAAUGAAUAUGCUUUGGCUCUGGCUUUUUAUCCGUAAAUGCUAUGAUUACCUGAAUUUGAGAUGGGGGCAAUCUUGCUCUCAUGGAGACGGAGCAGAAGAGAGAGUGUAUUUACAAGAGUAAACAUAGAACGCGAAAACGCAGUAAAAUGCAGGUUAGCGAGCGGUUUCCCUGCUGGGUGUGAUUCUUUAAAUACAACUGUAGGGUUUGGUGACUGAAGAUGGCAAAAAUAAAUAUAGGGGGAAAAUACUCUUAUACAAUUCUAAAAAACCUGUGUCACAAUAUAGAUUCAAAUUGUACAAUAUUUAAUGAAUUGUUGCUUACAAUUCAUUUGCAGUAAUUCCUACUUCAUUUCAAUUCAAUUUUUAGAAAUGAUUAAUAUUGAAACACUUUACUUUUGGUUGCAUAGGAAACGCAGCACAAAUAGCCCGGGAUCAAAUGCCUUGUGUUUAACUCUGGUGAACUCUGCGCUGUGGGGCAUGUUUGGAAAGUCUAACUCUAUUCGGCCCGAAGACAUUACACGCUGCGCAAAGACAGCCUUGCCAAACCACAAAAAAAAAAGAAAGAAAAAAAAAAGACGAAGGUCAGCUUCACACUGAUACAGUGGAAACAUCUUGACACAAAGAUGAUGACACGGGGGCCGAGCGAGACAAGGCAGACGGUGAAGAAAAACAAAUCCUACUGGACCCGCGUGCCGGAGCGCGGGCCGGUUGGCUCGGUUCACUUGUGGGAAUGGGAGGGGUUAGGGGAUAAUUGAAUUACAGUGACCCCCGUGACAGCACUAUAGGUGAUGUCAUGUGACGAAUUAAACGUGUCCCCGACCCCGUCCUCGAUGGGAUCAGGGCUCCUUGGCCGCUGCCGGGACCCAAAGCCAACAGUCGCGCGUCUUACUGAGCCCGAGCCGCCACUCAGGGUGACAGACUCAGAGGCUGACGCAGGAUCGCUCUGCACGCUUUAUUUUUAGCCCAAAUGCUAAACCUCUCUAUGCAUUGAGACACGCGGAAGCCGCGCUGCUAUUUACUGCUGUGUGAAAUCUUUCUAUUUUAAUUUCACUGCCCGGCAUGAAAGUCGCGUUCACUGCGAACGUCCCUACAUUCAAUUAAUGUAGUUUAACCACGUAGUGACCAUCGU
ensembl:lncRNA